rnacentral:rRNA from 1 species
AACGAACGCUGGCGGCAUGCCUAACACAUGCAAGUCGAACGAUGCUUUCGGGCAUGGUGGCGCACGGGUGCGUAACGCGUCGGAAUCUGCCCUUGGGCUCGGGAUAACAGUGAGAAAUGGCUGCUAAUACCGGAUGAUGUCUGCGGACCAAAGAUUUAUCGCCCAGGUAUGAGCCCGCGUAGGUUUAGCUAGGCGGUGGGGUAAUGGCCUACGAAGGCGACGAUCCUUAGCUGGGCUGAGAGGAAGAUCAGCCACACUGGGACUGAGACACGGCCCAGACUCCUACGGGAGGCAGGAGUGGGGAAUAUUGGACAAUGGGCGCAAGGAUGAUCCAGCACUGGCGGGUGAGUGAUGAAGGCCUUAGGGUUGUAAAGCUCGUUUACCCGGGAUGAUAAUGACAGUACCGGGAGAAUAAGCUCCGGCUAACUCCGUG